ACAGUUACCGAAAGCAGGUGGUGGUGGACGACAAGGUCGCUCUCGUGGAAAUGCUGGAAUUCAAAUACGACGAUGCGAGAGGGUAUCUCGCGUUGUUGGACCAAAUUUUCCGAGACAGCGACGCCAUCAUCUUAGCGUUCGAUGUCACCGCGCGGGAGGAGCUUGAUUUGAUCAUGCAAAAUCAUGCAAUAUUCCUUAAUUUUAUGCGUCGUGAAUCUACUCCACGGACCUGUUCGAUCCCUGUGGGACUGAUCGAUAAGGACGCAUCGGAAGAAAUUUGCCAAAAGACGAGUUUGCAGACACCCCUAACAUUUACCUG
rnacentral:sRNA from 1 species